CCUACGGGAGGCUGCAGUGAGGAAUAUUGGUCAAUGGACGAGAGUCUGAACCAGCCAAGUAGCGUGAAGGAUGACUGCCCUAUGGGUUGUAAACUUCUUUUAUAUGGGAAUAAAACAGGGUAUGCAUACCCUCUUGUAUGUACCAUAUGAAUAAGGAUCGGCUAACUCCGUGCCAGCAGCCGCGGUAAUACGGAGGAUCCGAGCGUUAUCCGGAUUUAUUGGGUUUAAAGGGAGCGUAGGUGGAUUGUUAAGUCAGUUGUGAAAGUUUGCGGCUCAACCGUAAAAUUGCAGUUGAAACUGACAGUCUUGAGUACAGUAGAGGUGGGCGGAAUUCGUGGUGUAGCGGUGAAAGGCUUAGAUAUCACGAAGAACUCCGAUUGCGAAGGCAGCUCACUGGACUGCAACUGACACUGAUGCUCGAAAGUGUGGGUAUCAAACAGGAUUAGAUACCCUAGUAGUC
rnacentral:rRNA from 1 species